rnacentral:rRNA from 1 species
UCCUACGGGGGGCAGCAGUGGGGAAUAUUGGACAAUGGGGGAACCCUGAUCCAGCGACGCCGCGUGAGUGAAGAAGUAUUUCGGUAUGUAAAGCUCUAUCAGCAGGGAAGAAAGGAAUGACGGUACCUGACUAAGAAGCCCCGGCUAACUACGUGCCAGCAGCCGCGGUAAUACGUAGGGGGCAAGCGUUAUCCGGAAUCACUGGGUGUAAAGGGAGCGUAGACGGAAUUGCAAGUCUGAUGUGAAAAUCCGGGGCCCAACCCCGGAACUGCAUUGGAAACUGUAUUUCUAGAGUGUCGCAGAGG